rnacentral:rRNA from 1 species
AACGAACGCUGGCGGCAGGCUUAACACAUGCAAGUCGAACGCCCCGCAAGGGGAGUGGCAGACGGGUGAGUAACGCGUGGGAACAUACCCUUUCCUGCGGAAUAGCUCUGGGAAACUGGAAUUAAUACCGCAUACGCCCUACGGGGGAAAGAUUUAUCGGGGAAGGAUUGGCCCGCGUUGGAUUAGCUAGUUGGUGGGGUAAAGGCCUACCAAGGCGACGAUCCAUAGCUGGUCUGAGAGGAUGAUCAGCCACAUUGGGACUGAGACACGGCCCAAACUCCUACGGGAGGCAGCAGUGGGGAAUAUUGGACAAUGGGCGCAAGCCUGAUCCGGCCAUGCCGCGUGAGUGAUGAAGGCCUUAGGGUUGUAAAGCUCUUUCACCGAUGAAGAUAAUGACGGUAGUCGGAGAAGAAGCCCCGGCUAACUUCGCGCCAGCCGCCGCAGUAAGAC